rnacentral:rRNA from 1 species
UGAGGAAUAUUGGUCAAUGGGCGAGAGCUUGAACCAGCCAAGUAGCGUGCAGGAUGACGGCCCUAUGGGUUGUAAACUGCUUUUAUAUGGGAAUAAAGUGAGGGACGUGUCCCUUAUUGCAUGUACCAUACGAAUAAGGACCGGCUAAUUCCGUGCCAGCAGCCGCGGUAAUACGGCAGGUUCGGGCGUUAUCCGGAUUUAUUGGGUUUAAAGGGAGCGUAGGCCGUUUGGUAAGCGUGUUGUGAAAUGUAGGAGCUCAACUAUUAUAUUGCAGCGCGAACUGACAUACUUGUAUGCGUACAACGUGGGCAGGAUUCAUGGUGUAGCCGUGGAAUGCUUAGAUCUCAUGAAGAACUCCGAUUGCGGAGGCAGCUUACAGGAGCGCAACUGACGCUGAAGCUCGAAGGUGCGGGUAUCGAACAGG